rnacentral:rRNA from 1 species
UACGGAGGGUGCAAGCGUUAUCCGGAUUCACUGGGUUUAAAGGGUGCGUAGGAGGGCAGGUAAGUCAGUGGUGAAAUCUCCAAGCUUAACUUGGAACUGCCGUUGAUACUAUCUGUCUUGAAUACCGUGGAGGUGAGCGGAAUAUGUCAUGUAGCGGUGAAAUGCUUAGAUAUGACAUAGAACACCAAUUGCGAAGGCAGCUC